rnacentral:rRNA from 1 species
GACGAACGCUGGCGGCGUGCCUAAUACAUGCAAGUCGAACGAGAGCGACCGGUGCUUGCACUGGUCAAUCUAGUGGCGAACGGGUGAGUAACACGUGGGUAACCUGCCCAUCAGAGGGGGAUAACAUCCGGAAACGGAUGCUAAAACCGCAUAGGUCUUCGAACCGCAUGGUUUGAAGAGGAAAAGAGGCGCAAGCUUCUGCUGAUGGAUGGACCCGCGGUGCAUUAGCUAGUUGGUGAGGUAACGGCUCACCAAGGCCGUGAUGCAUAGCCGACCUGAGAGGGUGAUCGGCCACAUUGGGACUGAGACACGGCCCAAACUCCUACGGGAGGCAGCAGUAGGGAAUCUUCCGCAAUGGAAGCAAGUCUGACGGAGCAACGCCGCGUGAGUGAAGAAGGUUUUCGGAUCGUAAAACUCUGUUGUUAGAGAAGAACAAGUGCUAGAGUAACUGUUAGCGCCUUGACGGUAUCUAACCAGAAAGCCACGGCUAACUACGUG